rnacentral:rRNA from 1 species
UACGGAGGGAGCUAGCGUUGUUCGGAAUUACUGGGCGUAAAGAGCGCGUAGGCGGCUAACUAAGUUGGAAGUGAAAUCCCAGGGCUUAACCCUGGAAUUGCUUUCAAAACUGGCUAGCUAGAGGACGAUAGAGGAUGGUGGAAUUCCUAGUGUAGAGGUGAAAUUCUUAGAUAUUAGGAGGAACAUCGGAGGCGAAGGCGACCAUCUGGGUCGUAUCUGACGCUGAGGCGCGAAAGCGUGGGGAGCAAACAGG